UACGUAGGCAGCGAGCGUUGUUCGGAAUUACUGGGCGUAAAGAGUGUGUAGGCGGUGCUCCCAGUCUGUUGUGAAAUCUCCCGGCUUAACUGGGAGGGUGCAGCGGAAACUAGAGUGCUAGAGGGUGGGAGAGGUAAGCGGAAUUCCUGGUGUAGCGGUGAAAUGCGUAGAUAUCUGGAGGAACACCGGUGGCGAAGGCGGCAUCCUGGACCGAUACUGACGCUGAGGAGCGAAAGCCAGGGGAGCAAACGGG
rnacentral:rRNA from 1 species